CGACCAGGGGGAGCAUGCCUCCCAUUAAUAAGUUUACAGCCUACCGCCUAUAUCAGCCACCUGACC
rnacentral:tRNA from 1 species